GGCUUCAAAAUAAGGUGUCAUUUCGUGUGGAGACCUCGGAGUAACUAAGAAGGGCUUACUCUCUAACCUGGUAGUUUAAGUUUUGGACACUUGGUUCUGAGUAAUUUGUGCGCCACUGUCUACAGUCGUGCGUGCAUCA
ensembl:ncRNA K08A8.18 ncRNA